CGCGGCCUAUCAGCUUGUUGGCGGGGUAACGGCCCACCAAGGCAACGACGGGUAGCUGGUUUGAGAGAGCGAUCAGCCACACUGGAACUGAGACACGGUCCAGACUUCUACGGAAGGCAGCAGUAGGGAAUCUUGCGCAAUGGGCGAAAGCCUGACGCAGCGACGCCGCGUGCGGGAUGACGGCCCUAGUGGUUGUAAACCGCUUUCAGCAGGGACGAAAAUGACGGUACCUGCAGAAGAAGUCCCGGCUAACUACGUGCCAGCAGCCGCGGUAAUACGUAGGGGACAAGCGUUGUCCGGAUUCAUUGGGCGUAAAGAGCUCGUAGGCGGUUCAGUAAGUUGGGUGUGAAAGCUCCGGGCUCAACCCGGAGAGGCCACUCAAUACUGCUGUGACUAGAGUCCAGUAGAGGAGCGUGGAACUCCUGGUGUAGCGGUGAAAUGCGCAGAUAUCAGGAAGAACACCGGCAGCGAAGGCGGCGCUCUGGGCUGGUACUGACGCUGAGGAGCGAAAGCAUGGGUAGCAAACAGGAUUAGAUACCCUGGUAGUCCAUGCCGUAAACGUUGGGCACUAGGUGUGGGGUCUACUUAACGGAUUCCGUGCCGUAGCUAACGCAUUAAGUGCCCCGCCUGGGGAGUACGG
rnacentral:rRNA from 1 species